ensembl:lncRNA
CUCAUCUCCAUCACGCCGGCCUUCCUCAGCCAAGAGCUCCAGGUCUUUGCGGGUAACGACCGCGGAAAAGAUGGAGUUUUCGCUGGGGUUGGUGGCGUUGGGUUUCUCUGGUCUGCAGGUGGCAGUGUUGCGCCGUGAAGCCGCCCAGCCGCCCUCCUGCCCCGCCAUUCGUGCUUGAAAAAACUGCGCAGAGCCUUCUCCGCGGAGAGGGCGGCCUCCUUCUGCGUCUGCGCGGGCUGGGCCGCUCCCGGGCCGGCUGCUCCCUUCUGCGCGCUCCUUUCGGAAAAUUGCCUUCCGGGGGACAAGGCCCUUUUGCUUUUCCAGUUGGCCUUGGUCCUGCGGAGCUGCCUAGGUUCCUUAGCAUCUUGUAUUUCUGCUUCUCCGAAUCGUCUUGUCUUGGUCUCUUCUUGGGUUGUCCUGGGUUUGUGGACCUGGGUUUCAUAUAUGGUAAAAUAUAUUCUCUCAUUGUAGAAGUCACUCCCCCUGAGUAUAGAAAACCUGGAAGACAGAGAGAGUGUAAUGAAGACAGCUAAUCACCCACAAUCCCAUUCCCCAGCCAUGACCCUUAAGAAUAUUUUCUGAUAAGUUUCCUUAGCGGUUUUUCAUUCAUAAAGGUGAACUUCAAACAUGAGGAUCAUAUUGCAUCGUGAAUAUGUUAAGUGAAAUAAGCCAGACAGACAAAGAGGAAGUCUGUGUGACUCCACUCACAGGUGGAAGUUACCAUAUAGACAAAGAGAACUGAUUGGUGGUUACCAGGGGAAAGGGGGGGAGAGGCCACAAAGGGUGAAGGGGUGCACCUACAACACAACUAACAAUAAUGUACAACUGAAAUUUCACAGGGUUUUAAACGAUCAUAAUCUUAAUAAAAGGAAAAGAAAAAAGAAAACUUCCCACAAUGAAUCCCUGGUGCUGCCGUAACUUUACCGGUAAAACGUACCAAAUGCGGACAGAAGAAUUAGUAAGCAAACUUCACAAACGCUUUCAAAAAAUAGAAGUAGAGGGAACACUUCCAAACUCUGGGGCCAGUAUCGCCCUGAUACCAAAACCAGACAAAGACCUUACAGGCAAAGGAAAGCAAAUACUAAUACCGCUUACGAAAACAGACACAAAGAUCUUUAACCAAAGUGCGUCCAAUCACGUCGCCUUCGUCUGUCCGGGCUGCUGUGGCAGGAACCGCAGACUGAGCGGCUUAAACAACAAGCGUGCAUUUCUCACAGUUCCGGAGGCUGGGAAGUCCAAGAUCAAAGUGCCAGCAGAUUGGGCGUGUGUGGAGGGCCGCUGCCUGGUUCACAGGAGGUCGGCUUCUUGCUGUGUCCUCAGGUGAUGAAGGGAUGAGAGAGCUCUCUGGGGUCUCUUUGAUAAGGGCACUAAUCCUAGUCCUGAGGGCUCCACCUGCCCGCCCUCAUCACCUUCUGAAGGCCCCACCUCCUGAGACCAUCACACUGGGGAUCAGGAUUUCAACAUCUGGAUUUCCGGGGAGACACAGACAUUCAGGCUAUAGCACACGUCUCAUCAGAGCCAGCGUCCCUGUCCUGUUCAAACAGAGGAUCCAAGCUCCGACUGAGGAACAGGAGGGGAAAGAACAAACCGCUCCUCCAACCCACUGUGGAGGCCUUCUCUACUCAAUUCCUGA